CUGUGCUCGCACAUAUACUAAAAAAUUGGAAUGAUACAGAGAAGAUUAGCAUGGCAAGGAUGCCACGCAAGGAUGACACACAAAUUCGUGAAGCGUUCCAUAUUUUU